UACGUAGGGUGCAAGCGUUGUCCGGAAUUAUUGGGCGUAAAGGCGCGUAGGCGGCCAGCGCAAGUCAGUUGUGAAAUCUCCGAGCUUAACUCGGAAAGGUCAACUGAUACUGUGCGGCUAGAGUGCAGAAGGGGCAACUGGAAUUCUCGGUGUAGCGGUGAAAUGCGUAGAUAUCGAGAGGAACACCUGCGGCGAAGGCGGGUGCUGGGCUGACACUGACGCUGAUGCGCGAAGCCAGGGGAGCGAACGGG
rnacentral:rRNA from 1 species